UAAAAAAAAAAGAGAGAGAGUAGAGAAUAAUAUUAGAGAAUGGAUAUAAAAGAAAAUUGAGCCUUGAGAUCUUGAGCUUAUAGGGUAUAUUUAUAAGAAUAAAUAAUUAUGAUUUGUAUAAUUAUGAUUUGUUAUCUUUAUGGACUAAAAUGUUUAUUUAAUUGAGACUUUAAGUCAUAAAAUGUGUUAAGUUAAGAUUUGACAGUAAUUAGAUUUAAAUAUUAAAAAAGGAAAAAUAAUUUGAGUUAAACUAUGAGUGCAGCUAGGGGGGCAGAAUGAAUCCACACAAGAACUAAUGUUUAUAAGAUCUUUAAAUUUUUUUUCGGCUAGGAGGGGCAGUGGCGCCUACCAGCCAACCCCUAGUUCCACCAUUGUAUACUAGGGAUGGAAUUGACUUUAUCUUUCUUAACGUAAGGAAGAGGAGACUCUGUAUUCUGGAGCUAGCUUGAUAAUUCUGUUAAAUGCAAUAUUAUCUCCAGACAUUUUGGGAAACGAGAUACAUAAUCAAGACUACCUAAUUCACAAGCAGAAAGAAUUUUCUGAUAGAUAAAUAACUUUUUGGAUAGGCUAGGGAUAACCAUAUGAGUUAUCUAGCUGAUCUAUGAGGAAAAACAUGCAGUAUCAUUUUGGCAGAGAUGCUAUACGAGUACUCUACUCAACUAGUCAAGCUGGUAAGCAUUAAGGUGGGGGCAUGGCUAGUCAAAAUCGUUUUUUGUAAAGUUUAAAUGAUCAGUAGUUGGUCCAAGUGAGUGCUAAAGGGCAAUCAAUCAAAAUUGAGAGGGGCAUCUUGGUUUGAAAGAAUGAAAAUGAUUUGUGUGAGUGUCAAUAAAAGCAUUUGGGUAGGAAAGGUGGACAGGUUGAUUUCUCUAUUUUGGUAUUAUAUGGUUUACAAACUAGUAGCAGUGAACUAUGCUUUAAUAUCAGUGCUAAGUGCUAACUAUGGUUUUACGAUAACUUUGAUGAGAAUCAUUCAGUGUCUUAUUGUUACAUAGAUCUGCUACACUCAGCUCAGCUCUAACUGCAUUGAGGAACUCCAGAGCGGUAUGGGAUCACUCAACACUCAAGUGGUUGGAUAGCUAUUUGUGAGGCACAUCUUUAUGUGGAGAGAGAGAGAGAGAGAG
rnacentral:misc_RNA from 1 species